rnacentral:snoRNA from 1 species
CAAAAACAUGACCUAGCCAUCAAGAAGGGGCAGAGUAAAAAGACCACUUUGGGGUAAGUAGCAGCUUGUGUUGUUUUAUUUCAAUGGGUGUUGUGACAAAA